AUUUCUUUAGUAUAAAGUAUACUUGACUUCCAAUCAAGAGGACCACUGUUAGUGGAAGAAAUA
rnacentral:tRNA from 1 species